rnacentral:rRNA from 1 species
UGGGGAAUAUUGGACAAUGGGCGCAAGCCUGAUCCAGCCAUGCCGCGUGAGUGAUGAAGGCCCUAGGGUUGUAAAGCUCUUUCACCGGUGAAGAUAAUGACGGUAACCGGAGAAGAAGCCCCGGCUAACUUCGUGCCAGCAGCCGCGGUAAUACGAAGGGGGCUAGCGUUGUUCGGAUUUACUGGGCGUAAAGCGCACGUAGGCGGACUUUUAAGUCAGGGGUGAAAUCCCGGGGCUCAACCCCGGAACUGCCUUUGAUACUGGAAGUCUUGAGUAUGGUAGAGGUGAGUGGAAUUCCGAGUGUAGAGGUGAAAUUCGUAGAUAUUCGGAGGAACACCAGUGGCGAAGGCGGCUCACUGAACCAUUACUGACGCUGAGGUGCGAAAGAGUGGAGAGCAAACAGG